UCUCUUUGUCCGACGCGCCAUCGGCUGCCAGCCAGCGACAUCCACCUCCACCCGUCACCAUCCGCCAUCGGCCUCUCGUCGAACCAUGUCCGGCCGGCCCCUGCCAGUAUCUUCCACAGGGAAAUUUGCACCAUGCUUGUUCAGAGAAAUCCCCGUUUGGCCGAAAAGGAUAAUGAAGCCUAGAGCACGUUACUCAGGAAGCGGUUACCUCAGGUGAUUGAUACCCCAUGCUUCAGAAUUGCAUGAAACCAAGAAUGCAGCCUUAAAACAGAUGAUGGUCAUUGAGGCGUUGCCAUGACUGUCCCUCACAUUUUAGAAUUUUCGUGGUUUGGUUCCAGUAGAGAUGAAUUCAUGACUUUACCGGAAGAGGCAAUCGUAACCUGUACGGUUACUGCGGAAUGUGAAUUCAUUGGUUUGUCUGGGACUGACCAUCUGGCAGGAGGAGUGGGCUGUCACUGCCUGAUGUGAGCUAAAGAUCUUGAGACAUCCACUGAAGAGACCAGCAAGCUUAUUGAAAUGUAAAAGCUUGGUUCAGGAGAAAGAAGCAAAAGAAACUAGGGAUUGUCCCAGUUUUCUACUGCCACGAGGACAGUCUCGCCUGUUAAUGUACUUUCACUGAAAUCUGGGCUGUAUUAUUUCCCGAAAUACACCAUUUUUUCCAAAUAAAGUUUUUUUGAGAACCAA